GAUCAAGUGAAACUAACUGCUAACAACUGGAAGUUUUGCGGGAGCCCUGGGAUAGCAAGCAGAAAACAAAGACAUGCUUUGCUUUCCUUGAGGGCCAGGUGGCUCCGAGCAGCCCGCAACCCGCCUUCGCCGUUUAGUCUGAAAGCCCCCUCGGCCCACUUCUUCCUUGGAAUAAAAGCAGCCUGACUCCUACCCCGCAUUAAGGUGGUUCUUUAGGACGUUAGCCCGCCGUCUUCUCAGCGUGCUGGCUUUCUGAACAAAGUUGCUCCUCUUUGCCCCGACACCUCUCUUGACUUACUGGCCUGUGGAGCAGCGAGCGGUAAGAGCCUGACUCAUUAACAAACGUUGACAAGCCAGCCAGGAGUCUUGCUGCUCGAGGCCAGCUGGCCCCGGCUGGGAAAUCGUGCUGGGCAAGCCCCCAGCAGCUUCCAGGACCUCUUGUGCUGCAGGUCCUCCUUCAAAAGUCCUUGGAGCAGGGCCGGCCACCCCGGUGCUCAGCAGUUGGAGCAAAGACUUGCCAUUUGGGAGUCGAAGGACUGAAUGCAGAAAGGUCUGUCUCUCCAACUGAAGUCACCCUGCACCCUUUUCAACUAACCCAGGCACCUCAUCCUCCUUAAAAGCUGGAAAAAGCAAGGACCCAACCAUCCGCUGGCUGUGAAGUGGACCGGAGGGGGCCGUAUGAGGGCUUGCUGACCGCACAGUCAUCAGGCUGAGCUGAGGGAGGAUGGAGACUAGCAGAACGAAACUGCCACCACCAGGAUGAAGACAUGGUGAAGGACCUUGUAAUAAACGACCCCGCAGCCCGGCCGGGAGCUGGAGCUGUCCUGACCGGCUACUUGGCAGACGGCUCCCGACUCGAGUGUUUCGUUUUUC